UUCGCAAUGCCCGAAAGGGUGACGAAGCGACGCCGCGUGUGGGAAGAAGGCCUUCGGGUUGUAAACCACUGUCGGGAGUUAAGAAAUGCAAGAAUGUUAAUAGCGUUUUUGCUUGACUAAGGCUCCGGAGGAAGCCACGGCCAACUCUGUGCCAGCAGCCGCGGUAAUACAGAGGCGGCAAGCGUUGUUCGGAAUUAUUGGGCGUAAAGAGCACGUAGGCGGCUAUAUAAGUCGGUUGUGAAAGCCUUCCGCUCAACGGGAGAACAGCAUCCGAUACUGUGUGGCUUGAGUGUGGGAGGGGAGAGCGGAACUUCUGGUGGAGCGGUGAAAUGCGUAGAUAUCAGAAGGAACGCCGGCGGCGAAAGCGGCUCUCUGGCCCAUAACUGACGCUGAGUGUGCGAAAGCUAGGGGAGCAAACGGGAUUAGAUACCCCGGUAGUCCUAGCCGUAAACGAUGGGCACUAAGUAGAGGGGUUU
rnacentral:rRNA from 1 species